CGGUGGAUGCCUAGGCAGUUAGAGGCGAUGAAGGACGUGUAAGUCUGCGAAAAGCUGUGGUGAGCCGACAAAAUGCAUUUGAGCCACAGAUGUCCGAAUGGGGAAACCCAGUGCAUUUAUGCACUAUCUGCAACUGAAUACAUAGGUUGUAGAGGCAAACGAGGGGAACUGAAACAUCUAAGUACCCGGAGGAAAGGAAAUCAAUUGAUACUCCCCUAGUAGCGGCGAGCGAACGGGGACCAGCCGAGC
rnacentral:rRNA from 1 species